UACAGAGGUCUCGAGCGUUAGGCGGAAUCACUGGGCUUAAAGCGUGUGUAGGUGGAUCGUUAAGUACCUUGUGAAUCCCACGGCUUAACCGUGGAACUGCUUGGUAUACUGGCGGUCUUGAGCCAGCUAGGGGCUACCGGAACAAAUGGUGGAGCGGUGAAAUGACGUAGAUAUCAUUGGAACGCCAAUGGUGAAAACAGGUAGC
rnacentral:rRNA from 1 species